GAGUUUGAUCCUGGCUCAGGGUGAACGCUGGCGGCGCGCUUAAUGCAUGCAAGUCGAGCGUGUCCGUGGCUUCGGCCACAAUGGAAAAGCGGCAGACGGCUGAGUAACGCGUGAGUAAUCUGCCCUCCGGUGGGGUAUAACCUCGGGAAACUGAGGAUAAUCCCGCAUACGACCGAUAUCCCUUGGGGUAUCGAUGAAAGGCUUCGGUCGCCGGAGGAGGAGCUCGCGUCCUAUCAGGUAGUUGGUGGGGUAAUGGCCUACCAAGCCGAUGACGGGUAGCUGGUCUGAGAGGAUGACCAGCCAGAGGGGGACUGAGAACGGCCCCCACUCCUACGGGAGGCAGCAGCAGGGAAUCUUGGGCAAUGGGCGAAAGCCUGACCCAGCGACGUCGCGUGGAGGACGAACGCCUUAGGGUUGUAAACUCCUUUUCCGAGGAAAGAUACAAGACGGUACCUCGGGAAUAAGCCCCGGCUAACUACGUGCCAGCAGCCGCGGUAAUACGUAGGGGGCAAGCGUUACCCGGAAUUACUGGGCGUAAAGUGCGCGUAGGCGGUUGGAUAAGUCUCUUGUGAAAGCUCCCGGCUCAACUGGGAGAGGUCAAGGGAUACUAUUCGACUUGAGGACAGCAGAGGUAAGCAGAAUUCCCGGUGUAGUGGUGAAAUGCGUAGAUAUCGGGAGGAACACCAGUGGCGAAGGCGGCCCUCUGGGCUGUACCUGACGCUGAGGCGCGAAAGCGUGGGGAGCGAACCGGAUUAGAUACCCUGGUAGUC
rnacentral:rRNA from 1 species